UUAAACAUCUGGAGCUGUGAAACUGCACGGAUGAGAUUGGUCGUUACAGGAGGAGGCAGCGGAUGGCAAGCAGCUGUGGGAUCAACAACAUAACACCUGGUUUCUGACCUAAAGUGACUAAGAAACUGGAGAUCUCAUCACUGGCAGCCACAGUCCUGCAACAUGAUCUAUCCUCUGAUAUAUUUGUCUAAUGCUUUUUUUAGGCCUCCUGUAGGCUCUAGCUUCAGAAAACAAGCCCUCUGAGUUCUUUCUUUCCUUGCAGAAAUUGGCAAAGAGAUAAGAAACAAAGUGUCUCCUAGACCUCAUGGAUUCCCUAUUUUUUCCUCGGUUUCUACUUAUAGCAUUCACACUUCCUGCUACAGGAGACUAACUGCAGCAAAAUGUUUUCAGUCUGCCAGAAGGAUCGCUUAUAAGAUCUUCAGAAGCAGUCAGGCUCUCAGCUGUGCCUCUACUCAUCUAAACCCUUCAGAUGGGCACUACUGACACCUACCUCUGCCACUGAACCCAGUGGGUGCCUUGACUGAUGAAAAAACUCCUAAUGGAAUUCACUGUCCACCAUGAAUGAAGUGAUUGGGGUUGCAGCUCAAGCGAGAAGACCUUGCAAAUAGGCACCUUGCUAGUAAGACCCGAUCUCCCACUUAUGACAUGUACUGAAUCAGGAUAAGUUAAAGGUCAGAGCCCUCAGACACAAUUUGGACUGCUUAGGUGUGUUUGCAACCUCUGUUGUGAUGUGAGCUUUGCCCUCUGUAUUAAAGGGGAUUUCCCUAAAUGUCAGGUUUGGGGUUGAUCUCUCUUACUGAAUAGCAACAGGAUAAUGCCACUGCAUUUAAGUGGUGAGGCUUGAUGAGCAGGGUAUAAACCUGACUCCCUAGACCACUGGUUCAUAAACCGUAGUAUGUUGGAGACUCUGUGCCCUACCUAACUGUUCAGCUAUCAAAAAUGAGGAAACUAACACAAAAUGAGGAAACUCAAAAUACUUGGUAGGGCACUGACAUGAAAUCCUAUACUCAUAUCCCUGCUCUGAAUCAUGCUGGCCAUAUUUAGUAAACCUAGGACUCCUACUCCCCUAGUGAAUAAUCCAAACUGGAAGGCAAAUGCGUGUUUUUAGAAGUGGAGAUGGAGACAUUCUGGCUGCUAGCAGGGACCCUUAAUACCUGGGAAAGGACUCAACCUUUGCUUCAAGCAUGAUCCGUCUACAAAAGAUGGAUUAUUAAGGCAAACUGUUAGUAUGUGGAUGAUUCACUUGAUUUAUGAGGAAGAAAAUGGAUUAAAGGAGAUCUUUGAAAACUAAGUUUUGUGCAUCAGGUUGGACUAUGCAACAAAAGAUUAUUGAGAAAAAUAUUUCUCACCAAUGUAUUGUUAAGGAAACAUUGUGAUUUCAUAGGUAGAAACCAUUUAAUCUUUUUGACUGCAGCCAAAAAUAUAAUCCUCCCUGGAUAAGAUGCUUAAGAGGUGCUGAGCAGUUUCAAAUCCUACAACUAUUAAGGCAAGCUGAAAGUGCUUAUCACCACUCAAGAUACAGAUGUUUUACAGGAGCAGUCUGCCACAAUUCUGUGAACAUAGUAAUUGGCCAUGAUGGCAUCCAAACUGUUUCAUAUGCAGUUCCUUCUCACUCUUUUUAAGAUUACUCUAUUGAAAAAAGCCACACAGUCUCUACUAGAAAAUUGUAUAUAUUCCUGGCCUCUUUGCUUUUUAAGGUUAUAGCAGAAGUAAGAAAGAGUUCAAAGUACAGAAAAAAAAAAUGUUUAGGGCAUGGGAAAUUCUAUAAAUGGGAAUAGAUUGCGGAGCAAGGGUACCAUAAGAAUGAGAAUGAGAUGAAUGAAAAUUUACAAAAAAAAAAAAAAAAAAGUAAAAAUAUACUAAGAAGUUAUAGAAUUUAGGAGUUGAUUUCUCUGUCUCGAAAGACACGAAUAGAGGGAAUUUAAACACAUUAAAGCUGGAAAGCUAAAAACUGAUCAAAGAAAUCACUCUUUCAUAUGAUGUGUCACUGAACUAUAAAACUCACCUCCACAGAAAACCAUGGUAGCCUAGAAUGGAGCAAGAUUAAAAAAAAAAAUAACUUGCUACACUCAACAAUUACGUUUAUCUUAAAAUAGCUUGUAACAUGCAGGAUUUUUACAAGAGUCAUAUUUGUAAGAGACUUGAAGAUGUUACUAGAUCAGUCUUAUAUUUUACAAUGAUCUAAUUGCCACCCAAUUCAUGGCAGUUGAUGGAUUAAUAAACAUGGGCCAAACUCUUCAUGGCACUGAAAUCAGCCAAUCUCAUCAGUGAGAAAUUCUGCUUCAGCUUUAAGAAAUCACUUCUACGUCAAACAGGAGCCAGUGGAAAUGUUGAGUGGUUUCUGCACAUAGUGAACAGGGAAUAUAAGCCUUACCAGACCUCCCUCUGUAACCCAAAGAAGCCUGUCCUGAGAAGCUGGUGCCUACCUCCAGGUCUGCAGAAGGCCCUGCCAUGACACUUGCAGCUGCUUCUUCCUGCCUCCAUGGUUUUCACCAUGCAGGCUGGUUCCACCAUUUCAGUUAAGCAAGAUCCUCCUCCUUAUUGAUCAUUUCUGGCAAAAUGCUGCUGGCAUAGUGGUACAGAGGGACAAGUCAGAUAAAUUAUGGCAUGCUGAAAGCCCUGUAUUGGCCCCCACCUGCACUCCUCAGAUGAUCGGCUGCUUCUGAGAAAUCCUUUGAUUUCCAAGUAGUUGCUCUGUCACAACUGUCUGACGAAAGCUGAGCUGUGGAGCACCACUGCUAGGCCCUGUGUUUAUCAUGUGCUUAGUGCAACCACGAUGGCUGUGAGAAACUCCAGUCUUGUGCAAUGCAGAGCAGCUCUUUGCUUCGCAAAAGAAUGAUCAAAGCACUCAGCACUGAGGCCUCUCCACCUCCUAUCCGCCUCCCUACAAAAGCCUAGGCAAC